UAUGUGCCAUCUCUAUUCACCAUCUCAUGUGAACACCACAUUUAAAAACAAAGGAUUAAUAAAAGUCAUGCCAUUAAAUUGUGCAUCAUGCUGGUUUUUGAAUGUGUAUCUAGUUUUAUUUAAAAUCUAAUCUCAGACUUGAAAUUCAUAUCAUAUUUGAAUAUAGUAAUCCAAAAAAAUCGAAAUAGAAAAUUAAAAAAAAAAGAAAGAGCAUAAUUGUGUAUGGGCCAAAAUUGCUCAGCCCAUCACCUCAUCCCAUUCCGUCGGCCACCCCCUCCAAAAUCCCUUUUCUUUAUUCAUUUGCCAGAACCUGUGUCACCAUAUCAUCAGCAUGACAUAAGCAUGCAAAUUAACCAACAGUUGUAUCGCAGCCUCAUGUGCUUCCGCACGCGCUAGCGUCUUUGCUCAACCAUGCUGACACAUGGGACCCCGGCGGCUUAAUCUCCUGCGCUCUCCUUAUCCCUACAGGUCCGGUGCCUGCACAAUUAUGCAUGGCCAGGAAUCUCGCGACCAGACGUCUAGGCUCUGCCCGGAUCCUUCGCAACCGACCUUCUCAGCGCGGGGAUCGGUCAUAGUGACUCCGCCCUCAACUAUAAAUAGGAUCGUGACUUAUUACGCCGUUGCAGCCGCGUAUUGGGGGUGCGGUGAGCUGAGUAUGCGAAGAAAGGGAGGGCCGCCGUGAUCCGUAUCGCUGAGCACACAAAGAGAAACAUGAGAGAGAAGAGAGAACGGUGAAGUCCGUCCGCACCGCUGCCUCGUCCUCGGGCGUGAGCUCGCGGGACUCGCCGUCGCGUGUGGUUGUCUUCGUCAACUUGGGCUCGGCGCAUGAACCGUAUAGGAAUUGGGAAAUUGUUCGCCGGACUGGGUGAAUUGGUGCGAUUUCUCCGCGGUCCGGUGGUACUCGUCCCCAGACUCGUCGAUCCAAGUGCGAGGUCACGUGUCAUCCGAAGAUCAUCCUGGUACCUGGAAUCUCAAGUCCCAGGCAAGUUGUGCCCUUGAUCACUUCUUUUUACCUACUCAUGUUCUGAUUAAUCAUAAUGAUCUGCAUAGGUUAAUUUUGAUGGGACCCAAUAGGUUACCCUAGUUUGAUUAUCUUUAUACCUUGUUUACCACUGAACUUUUUGGGUAGUACUUGCUAGUGCUUUAUGUGGUUUUGGGUAUGAAGAUACAUUAUUCAAGAUUAUACUUUUGUUAUCCGUUGUUAUUUACUGUUCAUGAUAAGAUCAUUAUGUUAAUUGGAACAUGGAGCGACCACCCGGGAAAACAGUGCUACCACAAGGGUAUAAUGGGACGCCCUUGGCUGAUUAAUUAGGAAAGCUAGUGGAGGACUACCUUACCCGAAAGGGGCAAGGGCAGUAGGGGAGUGGUCAGUGUAGGGAGGCCCUCGGGAGGAUUUUGCUGCGAUGGCGGUCCUGCAAGGGAUUCCUGCAUUGGAGCUUCCUAUAAACUGUAGCGGGUUUUCUGAAGCUAGUGGAACUUUGUAAAGGCCUCGUAGUGUUACCCUGCCUCGCCUCCUCGGUAGAGGUGUAUGGGAAGUCGCGAUCCCUUGGCAGAUGGGUAACAUGACUUGUGGGUAAAGAUGCGCAACCUCUGCAGAGUGUAAAACUGGUAUACUAGCCGUGCUCACGGUCAUGAGCAGCUCGGACCCUCACAUGAUUAAUUUAUGGAACUAAAUUCAAUUUGUCAUAUGCAUUGCAUCGCAGGUGAUGUUGUUACUUUGGUUCUACUGCUUAAUUGGGUUGGUAUUUACUUAUACUUAGUAAUUGCUAAUAAAAUUUUGACCAACUUUAAAAGCAAUGCUCAGCUCUAACCAUCCUCUUUGGUAAGCCUUACACUUCACAUGAACUCCCACCUUUGGCGAGUUCAUUCACAUUAUUCCCCACAACUUGUUGAGCGAUGAACGUAUGUGAGCUCACUCUUGCUGUCUCACACCCCCCCCACAGGUCAAGAACAGGUACCACAGGAUGAGGCGCGUGGAGGAUGCUGCGAUGUGUUCGUGAGAGGUCUAGGUCGUCGUCUCCCAGUCAACUUUGGGUUGCUGGACCGUUGUCUCCAUAUAAUGUAAUUAUUUAUUUAUUUUGUACAAAACUCUGAUUAUAUAGUAAAGAUGUGACAUUCGAUCCUGUGCCAUGAUUCAUCAUAUGUGUGAGACUUGGUCCCAGCACACCUGGUGAUUAUGUUCGCGCCCGGGCUUUGGAUCCCUAAAAUCCGGGUGUGACAGAAGUGGUAUCAGAGGAAUGUUGACUGUAGGACGAAACCUAGAUAGAACUGGACAACCAUUAUCUACUUACCCUACUCUGGUUCUUUUCUAAACUUAUCUUAAUCUUUUCUCAUCUAUUUCCGCUUUACUCUGAUUAUCCUUACCUUUUCCUUCUAAAGACAAACUUGGAUUUCACACUUUGAAAUCCUGUAACUAAGGUGACUUUAGGAAUAGGAGACCUAAUCUUAGGAACAAAAACAAAACUAUUUUUAUAGGUAUCUAUGUGUUUGAAUGCUUGUUCUUAUGAUACAUGUUUGAUUGGGAUUUUUGAUUGAGUGUGAUGAGUUGUGGAGUAAUGUCCACAAUUACAUUUGCAUAUACAUAUAGGCAUAAAUAUAAAUAAAUAAAAUUCCUAAAAUAACUAGACAAACUAGAUUAUCCCUCAUUAAAGUAUCUAGCCUAACAAUAUCCAUCUUAUCUUAAAAGAUUCUCUCUUAUCUUAAUAGAUUCAUCUUAUCUUGAAAGAUUCAUCUUAUCCUAAUCACCUUACUUAUCUCAUCCUAAAGUAACAACCGUGAGCUAAUCCAAAGAAUUUAUUUAGAUCUUAUCUAUUCUAAAAUAGUCAUAUCAAUUAUUCUAGAUCUGAUCCAAUCUAAUAGGUUAAUCUAACCUAACGAAGUCUAACCUUAAGUUGAGCUAACCUAAGGACAGUAACUUAACAAGUUAACACUAGAGAAAUAAACUGGAUUCUACUCCUAUGAACAUUGUUCUCCCCUUAUGCACUUAAACCUAAAUUAGUGCAUUAGACCAACUCAACCGUGAGCAUGAGAGCUAACCCAACCAAUAGUGUCAUGGUGGAUUGCAUAAUCUGUCUACCCCACCUAACAUCAAACAAGUUUUGACCAACAUCAUGUAGUCUAUCUCACCUAUAUCUACCUUAACCAUACUACCCACUCCGAUAAUAUACACUAAUGUCGAAUCAGUAAGACCAAGACUGGAGAAGAAAAGAUCAACAUCAAAUCAAGCAUGGAAGGAUAAGAUUCAAGCCAGAUCUUCAAAAGAAUCAAGAGCCACAAUCUUGGAUGGAGUCUUUUCUUAUCCUACUCUUUCUUACCCAAACCUAUAAAUGCUUUAAAGAUAUCUUUUAUCCUGCAUAAUAAAGUGGCUAUACCCAUAUACCCAUGCCUUUUCUAAUCACCUGAUAAUUUGCGAUAAAAAAAGAGAAGAGUUUUGGUAUUAAAAUCAAUUAGAAACUAACCCAUAGACAACAAACAAUUUCUUCUACAUCCUCUUACAAAUCUCGAGGAUGAGAUUAUUUUUAAGGGGGGUAGGAUUUGUAAUACCCACUUUGUAAGAAAAGUCUAAAAAGGGAAAUUAUAUUAUUUUUUUAUAUGUGCCAUCUCUAUUCACCAUCUCAUGUGAACACCACAUUUAAAAACAAAGGAUUAAUAAAAGUCAUGCCAUUAAAUUGUGCAUCAUGCUGGUUUUUGAAUGUGUAUCUAGUUUUAUUUAAAAUCUAAUCUCAGACUUGAAAUUCAUAUCAUAUUUGAAUAUAGUAAUCCAAAAAAAACGAAAUAGAAAAUUAAAAAAAAAGAAAGAGCAUAAUUGUGUAUGGGCCAAAAUUGCUCAGCCCAUCACCUCAUCCCAUUCCGUCGGCCACCCCCUCCAAAAUCCCUUUUCUUUAUUCAUUUGCCAGAACCUGUGUCACCAUAUCAUCAGCAUGACAUAAGCAUGCAAAUUAACCAACAGUUGUAUCGCAGCCUCAUGUGCUUCCGCACGCGCUAGCGUCUUUGCUCAACCAUGCUGACACAUGGGACCCCGGCGGCUUAAUCUCCUGCGCUCUCCUUAUCCCUACAGGUCCGGUGCCUGCACAAUUAUGCAUGGCCAGGAAUCUCGCGACCAGACGUCUAGGCUCUGCCCGAAUCCUUCGCAACCGACCUUCUCAGCGCGGGGAUCGGUCAUAGUGACUCCGCCCUCAACUAUAAAUAGGAUCGUGACUUAUUACGCCGUUGCAGCCGCGUAUUGGGGGUGCGGUGAGCUGAGUAUGCGAAGAAAGGGAGGGCCGCCGUGAUCCGUAUCGCUGAGCACACAAAGAGAAACAUGAGAGAGAAGAGAGAACGGUGAAGUCCGUCCGCACCGCUGCCUCGUCCUCGGGCGUGAGCUCGCGGGACUCGCCGUCGCGUGUGGUUGUCUUUGUCAACUUGGGCUCGGCGCAUGAACCGUAUAGGAAUUGGGAAAUUGCUCGCCGGACUGGGUGAAUUGGUGCGAUUUCUCCGCGGUCCGGUGGUACUCGUCCCCAGACUCGUCGAUCCAAGUGCGAGGUCACGUGUCAUCCGAAGAUCAUCCUGGUACCUGGAAUCUCAAGUCCCAGGCAAGUU